UACGUAGGGACCAAGCGUUGUUCGGAUUUACUGGGCGUAAAGGGGCGCGUAGGCGGCGUGUUAAGUCAGCUGUGAAAUCUCCAAGCUUAACUUGGAACGGUCAGCUGAUACUGAUGUGCUAGAGUGCAGAAGGGGCAACCGGAAUUCUUGGUGUAGCGGUGAAAUGCGUAGAUAUCAAGAGGAACACCUGAGGUGAAGACGGGUUGCUGGGCUGACACUGACGCUGGAGGCGCGAAAGCGUGGGGAGCAAACAGG
rnacentral:rRNA from 1 species